rnacentral:rRNA from 1 species
AAUUUGAAAUCUGGCCCUUCUGGGGUCCGAGUUGUAAUUUGUAGAGAGUGCUUCGGGGGAGACCGCGGUCUAAGUCCAUUGGAACAUGGCGUCCCAGAGGGUGAGAAUCCCGUAUGUGACCGCGGCUCGAGCCCAUGUGAAGCCUCUUCGACGAGUCGAGUUGUUUGGGAAUGCAGCUCUAAAUGGGUGGUAAAUUUCAUCUAAAGCUAAAUACUGGCUGGAGACCGAUAGCGCACAAGUAGAGUGAUCGAAAGAUGAAAAGCACUUUGGAAAGAGAGUUAAACAGUACGUGAAAUUGUUGAAAGGGAAGCGCUUGCAACCAGACCUGCCCGUAGGCGAUCAACCGCUGUUCUCAGCGGUGCACUCGUUCUGCGAUCAGGCCAGCAUCGGUUCGGGCGGUCGGAUAAAGGCCUUGGGAAUGUAGCUUCCCUUCGGGGGAGUCUUAUAGCCCUCGGUGCAAUGCGGCCAGCCGGGACCGAGGACCGCGCUUCGGCUAGGAUGCUGGCGUAAUGGUUGUAAGCGACCC